rnacentral:rRNA from 1 species
GUGGGGAAUAUUGGACAAUGGGCGAAAGCCUGAUCCAGCCAUGCCGCGUGUGUGAAGAAGGUCUUCGGAUUGUAAAGCACUUUAAGUUGGGAGGAAGGGUAGUAACCUAAUACGUUGCUACUUUGACGUUACCGACAGAAUAAGCACCGGCUAACUUCGUGCCAGCAGCCGCGGUAAUACGAAGGGUGCAAGCGUUAAUCGGAAUUACUGGGCGUAAAGCGCGCGUAGGUGGUUCAGUAAGUUGGAAGUGAAAUCCCCGGGCUCAACCUGGGAACUGCUUUCAAAACUGCUGAGCUAGAGUACGGUAGAGGGUGGUGGAAUUUCCUGUGUAGCGGUGAAAUGCGUAGAUCUAGGAAGGAACACCAGUGGCGAAGGCGACCACCUGGACUGAUACUGACACUGAGGUGCGAAAGCGUGGGGAGCAAACAGGAUUAGAAACCCUGGUAGUCC